GAUGAACGCUAGCGACAGGCUUAACACAUGCAAGUCGAGGGGCAGCACGGGAGUAGUAAUACAACUGGUGGCGACCGGCGCACGGGUGAGUAACGCGUAUGCAACCUACCUAUCAGAGGGGAAUAACCCGGCGAAAGUCGGACUAAUACCGCAUAAAACAGGGGCACCGCAUGGUGCUAUUUGUUAAAGAAAUUCGCUGAUAGAUGGGCAUGCGUUCCAUUAGGUAGUUGGUGAGGUAACGGCUCACCAAGCCGACGAUGGAUAGGGGAACUGAGAGGUUGGUCCCCCACACUGGUACUGAGACACGGACCAGACUCCUACGGGAGGCAGCAGUGAGGAAUAUUGGUCAAUGGGCGAGAGCCUGAACCAGCCAAGUCGCGUGAAGGAAGAAGGAUCUAUGGUUCGUAAACUUCUUUUGCAGGGGAAUAAAGUGCAGGACGUGUCCUGUUUUGUAUGUACCCUGAGAAUAAGGAUCGGCUAACUCCGUGCCAGCAGCCGCAGUAA
rnacentral:rRNA from 1 species